rnacentral:rRNA from 1 species
AGAAGCACCGGCUAACUCCGUGCCAGCAGCCGCGGUAAUACGGAGGGUGCAAGCGUUAAUCGGAAUUACUGGGCGUAAAGCGCACGCAGGCGGUUUGUUAAGUCAGAUGUGAAAUCCCCGGGCUCAACCUGGGAACUGCAUCUGAUACUGGCAAGCUUGAGUCUCGUAGAGGGGGGUAGAAUUCCAGGUGUAGCGGUGAAAUGCGUAGAGAUCUGGAGGAAUACCGGUGGCGAAGGCGGCCCCCUGGACGAAGACUGACGCUCAGGUGCGAAAGCGUGGGGAGCAAACAGG